CAUUCUCCGAGAUGAAGAUGAGGCACCACCAAGAGACACUCUGCAGAGGAGCUCCCAACUUUGGGAAGAACAAGGUUUGGGAUUUUAGCUCUGCUUUCAAUCUUUUUCAGAACAAGAGGAUACAAACCAAGCUGCGACUUCCCUGUGUAUAAAAUAAUUUCUGUGCUCUUGCACAAGCAGAAGACAAGUGACGGAAAGCAACAGGGCACAGGCCCUUGCAAGGGAUGCCCAUGCCCAGUAACCAGGUUGGCCAGUUCAGUGACAGAAGUAUCUCUAUGUGAAAAGGAAAAAAUCCAGAAGUUAUACACAGUUCUGAAUGCAAAUGCAUGCAAAAGUGACCUGGGAGAAGAAGUACAGAGCUGGUUUGGAG
ensembl:lncRNA